CCUACGGGAGGCAGCAGUGAGGAAUAUUGGUCAAUGGACGAGAGUCUGAACCAGCCAAGUAGCGUGAAGGAUGACUGCCCUCUGGGUUGUAACCUUCUUUUAUAAAGGACUAAAACGAGGCACGUGUGCCUUUUUGCAUGUACUUUAUGAAUAACGAUCGGCUAACUCCGUGCCAGCAGCCGCGGUAAUACGGAGGAUCCGAGCGUUAUCCGGAUUUAUUGGGUUUAAAGGGAGCGUAGAUGGGUUGUUAAGUCAGUUGUGAAAGUUUGCGGCUCAACCGUAAAACUGCAAUUGAUACUGGCAGUCUUGAGUACAGUUGAGGUAGGCGGAAUUCGUGGUGUAGCGGUGAAAUGCGUAGAUAUCACGAAGAACCCCGAUUGCGAAGGCAGCUUACUAAACUGUGACUGACAUUGAUGCUCGAAAGUGUGGGUAUCAAACAGGAUUAGAUACCCGGGUAGUC
rnacentral:rRNA from 1 species